rnacentral:tRNA from 50 species
GGGGCCAUAGCUCAGCUGGGAGAGCGCCUGCUUUGCAAGCAGGAUGUCGUCGGUUCGAUCCCGUCUGGCUCCACCA